rnacentral:rRNA from 1 species
UACGUAGGGCGCAAGCGUUGUCCGGAAUUAUUGGGCGUAAAGAGCUCGUAGGCGGUUUGUCGCGUCUGUCGUGAAAGCUUGGGGCUUAACCCCAAGUCUGCGGUGGAUACGGGCAGACUAGAGGCAGGUAGGGGAGAACGGAAUUGCCGGUGUAGCGGUGAAAUGCGCAGAUAUCGGGAGGAACACCGGUGGCGAAGGCGGUUCUCUGGGCCUGUACUGACGCUGAGGAGCGAAAGCGUGGGGAGCGAACAGG